GAUGAAGAACGCAGCGAAAUGCGAUAACUAGUGUGAAUUGCAGAAUUCCGUGAAUCAUCGAGUCUUUGAACGCACAUUGCGCCCCCUGGUAUUCCGGGGGGCAUGCCUGUCCGAGCGUCAUUGCUGCCCAUCAAGCACGGCUUGUGUGUUGGGUCGUCGUCCCCCCCUCCGGGGGGGGACGGGCCCUAAAGGCAGCGGCGGCACCGCGUCCGAUCCUCGAGCGUAUGGGGCUUUGUCACCCGAUCUGUAGGCCCGGCCGGCGCUUGCCGAACGCAAAACAACCAUUCUUUCCAGGUUGACCUCGGAUCAGGUAGGGAUACCCGCUGAACUUAAGCAUAUCAAUAAGCGGAGGA
rnacentral:misc_RNA from 1 species